AGAGCUAACAGGAAAUCCUUUAUAACCAGAGCUAAGAGUCACCUAAACAGCUCCCAGAUACUGGAAUACAGCACUGGGACCUACUGGGAGAUGGAGACCAGACUUUCCUUUCCCACAUUGGCACCUGGAUACGUGUGUGAUGCAAACCACUGUUUUCAAAAUGGGAUGAUGAAGCGCCCUGGAAGCUGAAAGAUGAGAAAACGAGAGGGAAGCGGUGCAAAUAAAAAG